GGUUCCAUGGUGUAGUGGUUAGCACUCCAGACUUUGAAUCUGGCGACCUGGGUUCGAAUCCCGGUGGGACCU
rfam:Oryza meridionalis cultivar OR44 (W2112) chromosome 1, whole genome shotgun sequence.